rnacentral:piRNA from 1 species
UGGGCAAAUCCAUACUGUAUCAUUGGCUGGC